AGCAGCCGCGGUAAUUCCAGCUCCAAUAGCGUAUAUUAAAGUUGUUGCAGUUAAAAAGCUCGUAGUUGAAUUUCGGGAUCAAUAUGUCGGUCGUGCCUUCGGUACGCACUGGUAUCAUUGGUUUCUCCUUUCUGACGAACCAUGAUGUCAUUAAUUUGGUGUUAUGGGGAGUUAGGACUGUUACUUUGAAAAAAUUAGAGUGUUUAAAGCAGGCUUUAGCUUGAAUACAUUAGCAUGGAAUAAUGAAAUAGGACGUUCGAACCUAUUUUGUUGGUUUCUAGGAUCAACGUAAUGAUUAAUAGGGAUAGUUGGGGGCAUUAGUAUUCAAUUGUCAGAGUGAAAUUCUUGGAUUUAUUGAAGACUAACUACUGCGAAAGCAUUUGCCAAGGAUGUUUUCAUUAAUCAAGAACGAAAGUUAGGGGAUCGAAGACGAUCAGAUACCGUCGUAGUCUUAACCAUAAACUAUGCCGACUAGGGAUCGGAUGAUGUUAAUUUUUUAAUGACUCA
rnacentral:rRNA from 1 species